GUCCCGCGGGGCAUGCCGGGAGGUGCAGUCCCGCUCCACCACAGCCCGGCCACAGUCGGAGCCCCUCAGCCCCAGCCUGGGGGCCCGGGAGGCUCUGGCGCCCCGGCCCGGGCUCUGCAUCCGCCCUCGGCCUCUUCCAGGCGAGCAGGCCCUGGGCUUCGGCCCAGUUUACGCAGCUGCUCGGCUCUCCCCUGGCACAUGUAACACGAGCAGGCAGCGCUGAUAUGGCCGCUGCCCUGUCACAGCACAGCUCAGCACCGAGACCUCCAGGCUCUGCUAUUUCAAGAAAGAACCUUUACCCUCCCUCCCCAGCGUGUGCAUACAUCGAUGAACAAGUACGAACCAAAUGCUUCAGCUUGCUGCUCUGCAAGUUGUAGGACAGUACAGCAAUUACUCACAUGAAAAGGGCAUUGCUGAAACUCCUCCAUGUCAGCUUACCUGGAGAUUCUGCUGAAUGCGAGCAGGAGUGACACUCUUGGGAAUGACAACCACUUUACGCUGCACUUGCCAUCUGAAAGAGGAGGUGAGAGACUUUGUCUGUGCAUGCAGUCCAAGAACAGUAUUUAUUUUGGUUGACUAAUGAUCUGUGCCAGCAGAGAUGCCACUUCUGUGAAAUAAAAAUCCCCACAGAAGGAGUGCCCUGUAUUGUAUUGGGACCUGGUGUGUCCAAGCUCAAGCAAGACAGUAACAACUGAAUUAAUCAGAGAGGGGAAAAUGUUCAUGCCUUGGAACAAGCACCCAGGUUUCAAGUGUUUUAAGCUAAACCCAAGAAACAGUCAGAAAAACAUACUUCAGCAUUUCAAGCAAGUUCUAACCUGACAGCCACUCAGAAACUAGAUGAAAACCCAGAUCCCUGAAGUGCCUGUCUAGUAGCUUGAGCACAAAAUCUCAAACAUAUUCAGCUUCUGGGUAACCUGCUACUGCCCAAGACUGUGGUGGUGACACUGAUGGAUACAAAGCCAGUCAAGAAAAAUGAGGAAGGAAAUCCAGUAUUAGUUUACAAGGUGCUGAUCAUAUUCUGAGUAUCAAUCAGUCACCUUAUUUCCCAAUAUCCAGUACCUGGCUAUAUAAAAACAAAACAGCAAACAGUUCUUCAUUGCAAAGGAGGCAGGCCUUUUCCUUGGAGCCCGUCUGAGUGCAGCAGCAAGCACUAGAGGCUUCAAGGCACUGACCACAUGCAAAUUCAGUGGGCAGAACUCACAUGUGGUACACUGCUGCCUUAAUCGUCCUACUGCUAUUUCCCAGCAGGAAAGGUACUGUCCCAGACAUGGCAACAGCCCAUGGGAACUGUCCCAUGGGAACAUGGAUCCAGGCCCUGAAUGGACCCCUCUGAUCUAGUCUACCUGCCCUAAGGCAGGGCCAACUCUACCAGCUCUGUAAAACAAGCCCCAAGUGGGGUGUGCACUCCCUGUGAUUUUAACUCCACCCUGACACACUUAAGUGGAUUCCUUCUAGCUUGUAUGUUUUGCUUUAUUGAAGGCUGGGUCCCAAACACCACCUCUCUCACAACUGUUCUGUACCUGAGGAUGAUCUGUGCAGGUGACUUGCUGUAUUUUUCUGCAAUUUUUUUGAUUCCAGGUUCCUCCAGAAGCACAGGCUCAUCUGGUUGUUUCCACAUGCGAUCCGGGGAGCCAAGGGGACUGUAAGCAGUGACCACCAGGCCUCGUUUCUGGCAGUGAGCGAUCAGCUCGUUCUGAGCUAGGUAAGGAUGGCAUUCCACCUAUUAAAAUAACCCACAAUGAGUGGCUACAGAACAGGUAUCAACAUACAAUGAAACAAACAGGAAGUCAAGCAAAAGAGAACCAAACAUAUCACACGAGCUCAUUCCAGAUUCCAGAAAACCUUAUGAGAAUAAGGUUUAAGUUAACCUUAGUAACUCAAGUCACUACCAGGAGAAAGAAGAAGUGUCUGGUAGGCUAAGCUUACAGGAAACAGAGAACAGAGCACCUAAGCUUGGUGCUGAACUUUCCCUUGGUACCAAACAGAUCAUCUAACAAGCAAGGAACUUCUCUGCAGUAGGGAUUCAAGUUAUUCCCUCACAAUCUUUCCUUCUUACAGACUAAAUUGUUCCUCACAGGGAAGAUGAACUCUUCCACCAACCUGUUCAACUAUCAGGUAUAAAUGCCCAUAGAACAUGGAUGUAGGCCUCCUUCCCAAAAAAUUAAUCUGCCUGGAAAAACAGCCUCUGUGUGCCUGCUCCUGCAGAGCUGGCUAUAUUCUUCCCUGCAAAUAAGAAGCUGGACCACUUGUGCUAAACAGAUAACAUUAGUUUGCAAAUUCUUCACCCUUAUGCACAAAUAGGAAAGGUAUUUGUCUCUAUCCACCUUACCUGGAGCACAGCUGGCUUCACAGUAGCCACACUUAGUACAUCAUCGAUCUGACGACUGUUGAAGUUUGACAGCCCAAUGGCUUUCACAAGACCUUUUUCCACCAGUUUCUCCAUAGCCUUCCAGGUAUCCUUAUAAUCAGUGUAGUCAUAACGCAUCGUGUUAUCAGGAUUCUUUGGGAAAAGAUUGUCCCCUCGUCUACAGCAUCAAAGGUGAAGUGUAAGUACAUAUACCACAUUAUUUAUAUUAUGUUAAUUCUUCACUUAAAGAAACUUUCCUCAAAGUAUCCUUAGAAGUUAUACAUAGCCGGAAGGGUAGAGUACAAACUGAAUGAAUCUUAUCUGUUCAAUUCCAUUACAUGACUUAACCUAUAAGCAGUUAUUACACAAGACGGUCUUUCCUACAUAAAGUUGUUAUACAGCACUUUGAAGUACUUAUCUAUACAGCAGUGACUACACAGAACUGAUAAACCACUGUGCACACAGCAGCAGGUCUUUGCACACUUUGAUCCCAAUAAAACAGCUGAUUUAGUGAGCAGCAACUCAGAGGGCGGCUUGGAGUUGCUACCAAAGGGAUCUGGGUUUAAGAGCUGUCUAGGAGAAAAUGUAUUCAAAGGACACUGGCAUUCCCACUCCCUCUGGAUUCUGUAGCUGUGUCAAUACUCGAUACAAGCACAGAUUCUCCCAGAAGUCUUAAUAUGUACAUGUUGUUUAUAGGUUGGGUGUGUUUCCUUCCAAUUAGUCAUACCAACGCAUUAAAAAAAAAAACCCAAACCAAAAAAACCCACCCAAACAGACACAAAGUACCCAGUUGUGCCAGGUGAUACCCCCACAGCCAAAGGGCUAUGACUGGUCUCUGAGCAGUCCCUGCUUGGAAGGGUACAAGCAAUCAAUCCCCUUAGAAGAAUACGGCUCCCUAAUCACCACAGGACUCUGCUAGCUCAGCACACAGAGACUCUUACACUGCUCUAGCUAAGCAGUGAAUGGUGUGAGAAAUGGCAGUACCUGGGGACAAGGGGAGAUGGUUCUUCAUGUCACUGAUAAAUCUAGAACCAAAAAUAACUCUGAAAGCCUUAUGAGCAUCCAAGUUAGAAGAGCAGCCUCAUAUGUCAAGAGGACUGUAUGAAGUGAGAGUAAUUCUCAAGACCUAGAGGCACUAUGAUUUUCAUCUGGAAGUCUGUUUUAAUUUCUGUGUAAGUAACAUUCCUUAGCUCAGCUUCCCAAUGCCACAGGCAUUAUAGAUAAGCAUGCAUUAAAACAGUUAAGUAGAAAUAAUGGAAAACUGCAGAGUACACAGUUUCCAAUGAGAAAAGAAAUGAAAUUGCUUUAUUAGACUGUCAGUUUUGUCAACAGUGUCACAAUAUAACCUAAAUUUAAAUAUCAGCAGUAUCUAAACAUACAUCAUUAUUUGUGUUAUGUGUCAUUAUAUGGGGUGGUUUUUUCAAGCAAAUGAAAAGCAAACCUGUUGCACAACAAGGGGAAUUUGUAACAGACCAGUUCUAGUUAAAAACACUUCCUCAUUCUGUUAUGCUGAGGAAUAUAUUUAUACUUUGAACAUCUUUCAUCUUAUCAUUAGUGUAUGACACUUGUUAAAUUCAGUUCAUAUGAACAGAAGGAGAAAAAACAUUCUCAGAUUUGCAGAAGAGAGGCCCCUUAAACUGACAGGGCUUGAGUGAAAAUUCCAUGCAAACAUCUGGUCGGGAGAUUUAUUCCUCCUGCCUCUUUGUUGAUUGCAGUUGGGUGGGUACUGCUUCCACAUCUACAAGGAAAUGGAGUCUGGAACUGUGCUUCUCAUGGGAUUGUAGGAUAAGUGCAUUUAGCACUUAACUGGGAAACUUUCUUGUCUCUUAUUUCCUCUAAUCAUAGAAUUAUUGCAAUUAGUGUCAUAUGAAGUAAUUUCACUUCCUCCUCAUACAGAUACCACCGUGAUACUGCAUGUGCUUGUCCACUCCAGUAUAGUUAAUAACUACAAGUGAAAAGUGUUGUCUUUAUAAAGCACUUAAUUCCCAUUUUACAGAGCAGUACAACUAAGGGACAAAGCAGUUCUGGUAUUUUUCCUCAGGGUUACCAUGUAGACCAGUGGCAGAACCAAAAAUAGCUGCCACACUUCCCCAGUGCCUAGAUCUAGACUAGUUUAAACUUUAAACACCAAAAAACACCUUGCAGGCAGCAUAAACAAGAAUUCACAGCUCAGAAAGAAGGUCCUCAGGAUAUAACAUAAGCCACUUAUGUAAAACUGGUGUUUCUGCAUUCUGUGCCCUUUCCAUCUAGAACUUACUCAAAUGCAUGAGGCCAGUGCAUGAGGUAGAGGUCCAGGUAAUCCAGUUUCAUAUCUCCAAGUGUUUUCCUCAGCGCUGGCUCUACAUCUUCUGGGUGGUGCUUGGUAUUCCAGAGCUUUGAUGUUACAAACAGGUCCUCCCUUUUAAUAAUCUUUAAGAAAGGAAAGAGAGCAUAAUUUACUGGAGCAAGCUCAAAAAGAGAAUUGCAACAAUUCCCCAGCUAGUUUUAAAACAAAGAGAACAACUGAAGUUUUGUGGUUUGUUUUGGUUUGUUUUUUUUUUUUUUUAAAUAAGGUAACACAUGGAACCUACAAAUUAAACCUUUCAAAAAUAUAGUGGAUGGAGAAGAGCCAGGGAAAUACACACAGUGGCAAGUCCUAAAGUAUAUCAAGUAGCAAUUUAUUAGAAGUUUUGAAAACCAAAACAAUCUCUUUCACAUACACACCCUUCCAAACCUUCCAAUUCAAGGGUUAAAGCCAUUACUAAGUGUGAUGUGGCCAAAAGAAAGAUUACUCAGCUUAUUCGUAUGUAAAUUUUGAAAUUUCUACUUAACAAUUCACAUAUUCCAGGCCCAACCAGCUAACUUACUUUACUCAUCACAUACUAAAAACAGAUUGCUUGUUGUGGAAAGAGCAUGGGAAAAUAAACAGAAGAUUCCCCCCCAAACGUCUGCAUUUGAGUUUCUAGGCUGUGGAAGGAGCACACUAAGAAUUGAGAGCCCUGUACCCUGUGUUGGAAGGGUAAGAACCAGAAAUAAAACAGCGGAGAACUGGUUAACUAGAAAGUGUAAAAUACAAAAGGGAGACCACAUUGGGCAAACUGAAGCACAGAAUUCUAUCAGAAAGGAUGUUUCUCACUGUUGUAUGUCUGACAAAACUUCACUCAAGUCUGUAUUUUGAAGAAUUUAGAAUUAUUAGCUCCUUAGUUUCUCUCUUCCAACCAUUCAGUUAUUUCUGUGUUUCACACAAGGGUGUUGUGUUUAAAAGGAAGAUAUUUAAAAAUUAUUGUAAAAAGAAUUUUCAUUCUAAUUCUUGUUAUAAGUUAGUUAGCUAAUAUGAACUGAACAAAAGGCCUAUGCUUCCCUUUGUUAGUUACCACAUCUAGUAGGGAGGAAUCCCUGGGGCAAGCUGAAAACAGCCUCUCUCAAGCACAUCACAUAACAAAGAGACUGCCCUAAAGCCAAGGCAAGAGCAGCAGGAAAGCAAGAACAUGAAAAUGUUCUUUCCAUGGGCUCUGAGGCUGUACAGGUUAUCCUUUUGGCCCCUUUAGGGAAUAAAUUUAAGAUUCCACCUCAGCUCAUCCAUAGGAAUGCCUGUUCCAAUACAUUAUACUUAGGCCUAAAACUCUCAGGUGUGGAUUUUGGAGCCACAGUUAUGAACCUUUCACAUGCAAUCACUGCUUUGAAAAAAAUUUUUAAUUCACCACAUUUACUCACUCGUAUUUUAUCUAUAACCAACAAACCUGCCAUUGACAUUUUAUCAGUAACCAAAAAACUAAAUUUGGUGUGGCUAUCCACCACUGCAUGCUAGACUGGAAAGUCAGAGUAAAUUUUCAUAUAAAUAAUGACAUAUAUUUUACAUUGUAACUACUGAUUCUGGGAACCCCAAAGUAUCCAAAUCAGAAUACUUUAUGAGGGGAAAAGGGGCAGGAAGAGGAAAAAAGCCACCACCAACACUACAGGCAUUUUCUGUACCUUCCAUCCAAAUAUCCAUGACAAUCUUUCCUCCCCAUGAUAGCCAGGAGGGUUUUAAGAGGAGAGAAAGCCCUCUCUCAUGCCUUCUCCUGAUAAAUAGCAAACAGCUGGGAUAGACCAGCAGGAAAAGCUACAAAUGUUAACUUUCACAGGUGACAGCUUAAGUUUUGGCACAACACCCAGUCAGCAGGACAGUUCCUGUGUUUUUACCUUGUUGGGCCCAACACAUUCCUGGAAGGCCUCCCCAACCUCGGCUUCGUUGCUGUAGGCGGCCGCGCAGUCGAUGUGGCGAUAGCCCACGCUGAGGGCGUGUUUCACUGCCUCCUUCACCUGCAACCAGAAACACAGUGCCCAUGCAGUCACUGAAAAGGGAUGUGGCACCAGGGGAAAAAAAUGCUAACAGACUUAAUGAGGAAUACGCCCCAAAAAACCCACAGACCUGCAUAAGGUCAUGAGAUUCAAACACAAGGAUCCAGGGUCUCUGCAGCACAGUCCUUAGGGGGGACAAGCUAACUGCUGGCAGACACUCCAAGAGGAACAAGAAAAUGGAUCGUGCACACAGGGCCAGCAUGCAAGAAUGCAGGAGAUAGAACAAAUCCCUACUCUUUGCUAUAGCUGUCACACUCUUCUUAAAUAUAAAAUGAGCUCUAAGAACCAGUUUUCAAAUAAGUCAUGGCUUAGGAAAACAACUUUUCUGACCUAAGCGACAAAUCAACAUCAGUCAAACCUGAAAUAUAUUUCCUCUUGCCCAGUAAAGAAAGAGCCUGGCUUCUAACUCCAGAAUCACCACCGUUUGGGUUUGGUUCAGCCACUCACACUUAAUUACCAAGACAAUGCUCUUUCAUGGAACAUUUUUCUUUCUUGUCUCAUGAUUGCACAACAGUAAAAGUCAUACUGCUGGGAUAAUCCUGAUGAUGCUCACAACUUUACAUUUUGCUUCCAAUAUUGCUGACAGUGAAGGUGUUGCCAACAGCAACAUAUCCCUUGCUCCAUGUUGUCACACAAAAGCCAGAAUGGUUGGGAACCACUUUACUUCAAAUCUGUAUCUGCUUUUGCAAGCUCUAAUGAAGCACAAGCACCAAACAUCUUCACAUCUGGGCCUCAGAUAUGGAGCAAGGCUAGAAACCAGAAGCAAACACAGAAUGGCAUCUUUGUGAGGACUCAUAAGGAGCUUUUGAAUAAAGAUUUUUUAUAAAUGAUUGUGCAAGAAUGAAGAAUUACUACAGUUGCCAGUGUAGCCAUCAUCUCCUGUUAGGCUGAUGACCAUUUAGUAAAAUCUGUUUCAUUUAAUUUCCAGUGGACAGUUAGCACUCAUUCUCUCUUACAUCUGUCCAUCUGAAGUACUACAGAAAGAAUAAUACACCCCAUCUGCACAGGGAUUUCUAUACAUUUCCCCUCACUGAUUUGUCUCCAAGACUAUAGGAGACUGUAAAUUACUCUGUGUCUAAGGCUUGAUGCAAGAGGGCAGUAAGUGUUUAUUGAGAUCACACCUCUCUUGUCAUGAGAUUAAAAAAUAUGUCCACAAAGGCUAGAGGGAAAUUGAUUUCUUUCAACUUAAUCAAAGUACCUGCAUUUUCAAAUUUAAAGCAGACAAAAUUAGUAAUACCAAGCAAAAGCAUGUACAGUCCUGCUUUCAGAUGCUACAGAAAGACGACAGGGAAUCAAAUGUGAGAAGAUCUCUCUCCUACUGGUGGAUUUUGUUUGUUUUUCUUGUCAAGAAGUACAGUAAAAGCAGACACAGGAUAUUCUGACUGCAUUCUUUGGCAUUUUGAGAGGAAAACUGGAAUGUAGCUUAGUUUCCCUUAGCCAGGAUGACAAAGCACUUCUAUUCCAGCAGUGAACUCUUCCUUUCUCUAGCAGGAUGGUACUUACAGUCCUUGUUUCACCCAACAAAGACAUUUCUCAGGUCACUACAAAGUCAAGGGCAGGGUAAUUCUGAAAUCACUUGAGACAUAGUAAAGGCUUUUAAGACUCAGUAUCUAUCCUCCAAAAAGGUGAGAGUUGCAGAGAGGGACAGGAAAGGGAAAACAGCAGUGUUCUAUAUUUGGAACCCCCUAUUUCCUGUAUCAUAUUAAUACUGUUUUUAACCAAACAGGCACAAAGUUUACCAUAACUGAAAGCAGGCACCACUCACAGAAAACCAGAGAUAAAGCACUCCAAACAUGUCUCUGCAAAGCAAUCAACAAGAGGCUGUAUUUCUUUAUCAGCAUGUUUUGAGAAAUUUCUAGCACCAAAGAACUGGGACUGGUCAUUUAAAUAAGGUUUAGAUCUGAGAAAAAAAAUCUGUAUUUGUGUAAGGUACUCCCAGCCUGCUAAGACAUUCCAAUGUGAACUGAAAGCUCCUGUUCCACACAGAAAGAAAACAAUAAAGAGGAAAUGUUAAAAAAAAAAAAAAAAAAGGCAUUUUUGAAGGGGAAAAUAAUAGCAUAUAGAAGUAAGUUUAAGAAAAGUACUUUUUUUAAACAGGAAGUUUUGUAUUUAUGAGAUUAACUUCAGACAGGUAUAUGCAUUUCAUGGUAGGGGACAGAGAAAAAAGCCACAACAGAAGCAGAUGAAGAUUCAUACGUCUCUGGAUAUUUGGUGUUCUGAAGUAACAAUAGCCAAAGGAUCCUUCAAACUUUCCAUAUAUUCUUUAGUUUAGCCUGUCAAUACUGCUGUGAAAAGACCAAUUCGUGAGUUCACUUUGCAUUAGGCAAGUUGAGUCACACACCUCUAGUGUGACUCACCAAUUCAUCCCCACAGAACUAAAAAGUUAGGUCUAACUGAAAGUAGGUCUGAAAGGAUCUUGAGACAUCUUCCAGUCUAUGCUCAUGGCCCACAGCUGGGCUGAAUAAAUCCAGACCACUCCUACACACAUUUGUCAUAGCCCUUCUUGUGACAGGCAGUCUAUUCCAAUGCUUUGCAAUCUUUAUGUUCAAAGUCUUUUCGAUGACUCACAAAGAUGGCCCUGAUGCCACAUCCCAUUUCUCCCAGACAUGAAAUCCACAGUUUGCCCUUUGUGAGGGCUUUUUGCACAUUUGCAAAGUGCUGGGACAGCUCCUCUCAAACCUCUCUUGACCACAUAACUGUAGGUGCUUCCCCCUUUCAUCACAACUUACCUUUUCCAAACCUUGCAUCACUGUGGCUGCCAGCUCAGCAGCUGUUUCAUGCCUUUCUUCAAAUGGUUUGCCCCAGAAGAGACACAGGUAUUGCAGUUGGAGCCUUACUCUCCUUCUCUUUACAGCAAAGUCCAAGGAACUACACUCGUAUUUAAACAUCCUAGUAAGGGACUUGGCCUUGCCACCCACCCUCUUUUGGUUUUGAAGAUGGAUGAACAGAGUAUCAGUGGCAGAUUCAGAAACAGAAUCUGCAACACAAAGUUCAAGUGACCCAGGAGCCUCUCCUCCUGCACAGCCUCAAGCCAUUAUGAAGAGAUUUGCACUCUAAUAGUUCAAUAUUACUAGGAAAGAAAAGGCUCUGACAAGCCUCCCCUGCUUCCUGCAAAGUUGACACAUUUUAGCAGUCCAAGUACUUUUUGCUGACAGGAAAUAGGAAAAAACCCAUAUAAUCAGUCCACGUGAUAUUCAGAUGCACUAUGACCAGAACCCAAGUGUUGCUAUAUCACAAUUUCUAAAUAUUGCAGUAAAAUUUGCUGAAAAGAAACUUACACCACCAGAUAAGUAAUGGCAGCUUAACAGUUGGUGUUCCCUAAAAUAAAGGGGUUUGCCUCUUAUCCUUCAAAUGUUGAAUUAAAGUCUCUUCCUUAACAGUAGUGAAUUUUUUUCUGCUCAUAACUGGGAUUCUCUAUAUUGUGUAACAAAUUUUAAGAACUAACCAUUCUCCCCCGAAGCUGCAAUCCUGUCACAAGACACCCUGUCUGACUGGUUUUCUGAGGUGCACAUUUCCUCUUCAGCUUUUCCAAGGUUUCACACAGAAACACAACUUCCCCAAGCCCUGUCUCUCCCUCUCCCACAGAACCAGCCUCUGCCACUGCAGGUUAGGCUGCUCAUCAGGUAGGGAUCAAUCCUCCAGGCUGAAAGCAUGGCUCACGUGAGAGAAGAGAACAAAGCAUUAAAGGAUUACAGAUAAUCCAGCUGCAAUAUCAAAAAGCCAUGCUACUGAUAUUCUUGAUGCUCCUGUCUGAAUGGAUUUCUCUUUGAACUCAUUCAUGCUGCCAGUUCAUAAACUUCUGUACUAUGCUCCCUUCCAUUCAACAGCCUUCCAUCAUAUUCCUAUGGAAACAUGCAAAACAAAUUCCUCUUCUAGCAUUUGAUCAUGCAAAACAUAAAGCAUCCUAUUAUUUUAUAUGGCAUCAAUCCUAUAAAAUCCUAUAGUCUUUCAACAUGGAUUUAGAUUCAAUUAUUUUACCCCUAUUAAUAUUGAGGAAACUAGGGCUGCAAUGACACCUUUGUACUGGACUGCUAAGAUCUGUCUACAAGGUCAAGACUUGUUUACAAUCAGAACAGUAACAGCAGUAAUAAAGAAAUUACUCAAGCUUGGCAAGGGAAAGAAUUAUAACCUGCAAAAUAUUUACCCGAAAUAAUUUAAAAGUCAUCCAUUUCCACACUUGCUUCUAAUGCAGCCCUUGAACAAAAGGGCUUUUGAUAAACAGCUUCUACUUGGGAAACAGCUAAACCAAAUUUAAUCAAUGCUAAUUCUUUUGUAUCUCUGGGGUUUUGGUCCCUAGUCUUUAAUUCGUAAUAGCAAUUAUUAUCCCUGAACUACAUCAUGUCCUUUUGAGGGUAAAUCAUCUGGACACUGCCAAAUUGCUGCUAUGCCCCUGAAUUUUCAAAAGUGAUAAGCAGAAAUUCAUUUAUUCCAUAGGAAUAGCAGCAACUUUUGUAACUUUUCUGGCCCUUUUCACUGCCCUUCCUAGAUUUUGUCUUCAAUACAUUCUACAAAGAAGUCUUUGAAGAUAGCAGAUAUUCCAAAGAAGUGACUCCCAAUGACUUCUGAGGAAACCCAGAGAAGAUGGCUGCAUCCUGUGUGGUGUUCAGCUGCCAGCAGCACUGCUGAUUAUGGCAAAAUCCAACUGAAUUAUGUUUAAAUUAUGCACAAACAGGAUCCGUCCCGGUUCCUUUCUAAGGCCACAAGUUUCUCAGAACAAUUAGUUCACAGAAUAAACAACACAUUCAUAUUUUGUUUGUUUAGUUUCAGACAUUUGCUUUAGACAAAGCACAUUUAACUGCUUUGAGUGCACAGAAAUUAAUCCAUUAAGUUUGUGCAUGUUAAUAAACUUAAUUCAGCUGUCA